rfam:Loxodonta africana unplaced genomic scaffold scaffold_52, whole genome shotgun sequence.
GCCCUGGUGGCUCAGUGGUUAAGAGCUUGGCUGCUAACCAAAAGGUCAGCAGUUCGAAUCUGCCAGCUGCU